rnacentral:rRNA from 1 species
CUACGGGCCGCACCAGUCGAGAAUCUUCCGCAAUGCGCGAAAGCGUGACGGAGCAAUGCCGCGUGAGGGAUGAAGGCCUUCGGGUCGUAAACCUCUGUCACCCGGAACGAAGAUCUGACGGUACCGGGAGAGGAAGCCACGGCUAACUACGUGCCAGCAGCCGCGGUAAUACGUAGGUGGCAAGCGUUAUUCGGAUUUAUUGGGCGUAAAGGGUCCGUAGGGGGUUUGUUAAGUCUGAUGUGAAAGCCCGAGGCUCAACCUCGGAACUGCAUUGGAUACUGGCAAACUAGAGCAUAGGAGAGGAGAGUGGAAUUCCUGGUGUAGCGGUGGAAUGCGUAGAUAUCAGGAGGAACACCGACGGCGAAGGCAACUCUCUGGACUAUUGCUGACCCUCAGGGACGAAAGCUAGGGGAGCGAACAGGAUUAGAUACCCCCGUAGUC